GUCUACGGCCACGCCACCCUGAACAAGCCCGAUCCUGUCUGAUCUCGGAAACUAAGCAGGGUCGGGCCUGGUUAGUACUUGGAUGAGAGACCACCUAGGAAGACCAGGUGCUGUAGACA
rnacentral:rRNA from 1 species